rnacentral:rRNA from 1 species
UACGGAGGAUCCAAGCGUUAUCCGGAUUUAUUGGGUUUAAAGGGUGCGUAGGUGGGCAGGUAAGUCAGUGGUGAAAUCUCCGAGCUUAACUCGGAAACUGCCGUUGAUACUAUUUGUCUUGAAUAUUGUGGAGGUAAGCGGAAUAUGUCAUGUAGCGGUGAAAUGCUUAGAUAUGACAUAGAACACCAAUUGCGAAGGCAGCUUACUACACAACGAUUGACGCUGAGGCACGAAAGCGUGGGGAGCAAACAGG